UACGGGGGGGGGCAAGCGUUGUCCGGAAUUAUUGGGCGUAAAGGGCUCGUAGGCGGUUUGUCGCGUCGGGGAGUGAAAAUCCAGGGCUUAACUCUGGACUGGCUUCCGAUACGGGCAGACUAGAGGUAUGCAGGGGAGAACGGAAUUCCUGGUGUAGCGGUGAAAUGCGCAGAUAUCAGGAGGAACACCGGUGGCGAAGGCGGUUCUCUGGGCAUUACCUGACGCUGAGGAGCGAAAGUGUGGGGAGCGAACAGG
rnacentral:rRNA from 1 species